UCCGAAAGACCCGUGAUUCUCACUUCUGAACGCCGAGCGUUUGGCGAAGGAGCAAUCACUACCUGUUUUUUAAAACGUCUUAGGCGUGAUGUGGCCACGACACGAGCGGGGCUCGAACUCACGACCUCUCGGUUACGAAGCGAACGCUCUACUAUGUUAAAGAUUUAUAGAAAAUCUUGAUCAUAUCAAACUUUGCGCAUGAUAGAAAUAUAUCUUUUGGUGGAAUUUUAUUCAUUGGAUAAAAAUGGGUAAACUAUUGAAAGUGAAAAGGUUUAUAUCCAUGAAUAAUCAAUUAUUUUUAAUUCUUUGAAAAAUAUCUAGGGUAAUAACUCCCAUUGUUGGUAUUUCCUUUAUUGUAGAUGUCUAAUAUACAAUGAUUUCCCUAAUAUCCAGUUAGUUUAUACAAUGUACAUAUUUAUAAAUCAUCAUUUUUUUUAAAGACAUCAAACAUUUUUUCGUUUUAACAAGUUUGUUUCGAUUUUCAUCAUUUUGUUUAAAAUAUGUGAUUUUUUUUAUGUUGACCUAUACUUCUGGGUUGUUGCUGUUUGGUUUUUUGUUGUUGUUGUUAUUUUUGUUUGUUUUGGUGUUUUUUUUGUUUUUUGUUAUUUAUUUUAUUUAUCUAUUAUUUUAUUUUAUAUUUGACAUCUUUAAAAAGGUGGCACCAUACACAUUUCCUUUAGUUAAUGAUUAAAUCAAACUACAUAGAUUGGAAAUUAAUUCAGUUUUUCCACUUCCAACCAUUAACAUUGAUAAGCCACAUGAGGGUGGGACUACCUUAAAAGAAUUUGAAUAAUUAUUGGUACAUCAUUAAGUGCGUGCAAACAAUUUAGCGGCUCAUUUCGUUCAGAAAGCAGGACGAUGUAGAAAGCAUUGAACACUAUCCUCAUAAUCACACAUAUUACAUAAUGACAAGGAAAUGAUUAAAACUUAAGCUUGAUCUGUAAACACACAGUAGUAAACAAAAUACUCUCAAUAGCAUAGUAUAAAGAAAAACGUGUGAAAACCCAAAUGGGACAGUCUGAUUGAUAGACAGAGGAACGGACGGACAGACGGACGGACGACGAGGAACCAAUAAUGACUGUCCCUUUCAGUUUCACCGUGGGGUCCUUCAAUCAAUACAAUUAAUCAAUCAACCAAAGGAUGUUCCAUAACAACAUUGGUGGAAAUUAAUCAUGCAUAUUUUGAGAAGUUAAAAAUGUUCAAAAUCAACGACGACGGAAGGACACACGGAAAUCUCAGCCGAAUAACUCAGAUGACGUGAAAACAGCAUAUUGUGAGAAAUGCCUACCGAAUAACUCAGAUGACGUGAAAACAGCAUAUUGUUGUGAGAAAUCUCACCCGAAUAACUCAGAUGACGUGAAAAGAGCAUAUUGUUGUGAGAAAUCUCACCCGAAUAAUUCAGAUGACGUGAAAACAGCAUAUUGUGAGAAAUGCUUACCGAAUAACUCAGAUGACGUGAAAACAGCAUAUUGUUGUGAGAAAUCUCACCCGAAUAACUCAGAUGACGUGAAAAGAGCAUAUUGUUGUGAGAAAUCUCACCCGAAUAACUCAGAUGACAUGAAAACAGCAUAUUGUGAGAAAUGCUUACCGAAUAACUCAGAUGACGUGAAAACAGCAUAUUGUUGUGAGAAAUCUCACCCGAAUAACUCAGAUGACGUGAAAACAGCAUAUUGUUGUGAGAAAUCUCACCCGAAUAACUCAGAUGACAUGAAAACAGCAUAUUGUGAGAAAUGCUUACCGAAUAACUCAGAUGACGUGAAAAGAGCAUAUUGUUGUGAGACGUGCUUACCGGGCUCCUUUAUUACCGGAUAACGCACUAUUCCUGUGAAACUCCGCGCACUAUUCAACUGAAGCUCUGCAGGGAGUUCAGUAAAUCUACACUUCCAAUUUUCGAGUGUAAAUGAAAACAAAAGAAUUUUUCACUUUAUGGAAACAGGUAUAUUCUUAUCAGAAAUAGAUAAAGGAGAAAAAUCCGCCCAUACGUCAGAGCUUUGAUAUUUUUUAAUAUUUAAAAACCAUCAUACGAAAUUUUUUUAUAGUGACUAUGCAAAUUAGUAAAUUGUGAUAUUAUUCUGACUUUAUUGACUUGUAUUAAUAGCUGUAGAAGUGUGGUAAAUAUUCUUAUAUGUGCAACACAUGUUGAGAAACAACUGAAAUAAAAACUAGACUGAAGCUAACAGCCACUAACCAGCAGCCAAUAAGACAAUUCAUCAAAGUACUGAGAGUACUCAGACGGAAUACAAAACAUUAGCAAACAAUCGAUUAAAAUUGAUAAUUUUUCAAACAAUUAAUAAAUACUUUUCUUUUUUUUAUCAAGUUUGAUUCUUGAAGACAGUUGGGUUUACUUGAAAAUUUCUAAUGUUGUGCCAUAUACAUGUAGGGUCAUAAUGAAGAUUGAUAACAACUUAAAUAAUUGAACAUAACACCAGUUAGGGGACCCCUUGGAUUAUCAUUCCCUGCCCCCCGUUGUGGUUGUAGGGGUACCACGUGGGGUUCCCCGAGAGUGGGACCACGUUUCAGAUCUUUCUAAUGAUUAAAUUUGGGGUGAUCGAAUGAGUUCUCCCAGUACGAUGAUGAAUACGGGCUUAUUGACUGCUGGUUAGUGGCUACUAGCUUCAACCUAGUCAAAUCAAAA